rnacentral:rRNA from 1 species
GGCUUAGAAGCAGCCACCAUUGAAAGAGUGCGUAAUAGCUCACUGGUCGAGUGACCCCGCGCCGAAAAUGUACCGGGGCUAAACAUAUUACCGAAACUGUGGAUGAACCUCUUUAGAGGUUCGUGGUAGGAGAGCGUUCUAAGGGCGGUGAAGUCAGACCGGAAGGACUGGUGGAGCGCUUAGAAGUGAGAAUGCCGGUAUGAGUAGCGAAAGAAGGGUGAGAAUCCCUUCCACCGAAUAUCUAAGGUUUCCUGAGGAAGGCUCGUCCGCUCAGGGUUAGUCGGGACCUAAGCCGAGGCCGAUAGGCGUAGGCGAUGGACAACAGGUAGAGAUUCCUGUACCAGUGCUAAUUGUUUAACCGAUGGGGUGACACAGAAGGAUAGGGAAUCGCACGAAUGGAAAUGUGCGUCCAAGCAGUGAGUGUGAGAAGUAGGCAAAUCCGCUUCUCGCGAAGCAUGAGCUGUGAUGGGGAAGGAAAUUAAGUACGGAAGUUCCUGAUUUCACGCUGUCAAGAAAAGCCUCUAGGAAGAGUAGUACUGCCCGUACCGCAAACCGACACAGGUAGAUGAGGAGAGAAUCCUAAGGUGAGCGAGAGAACUCUCGUUAAGGAACUCGGCAAAAUGACCCCGUAACUUCGGGAGAAGGGGUGCUCUAUUAGGGUGCAAGCCCGAGAGAGCCGCAGUGAAUAGGCCCAGGCGACUGUUUAGCAAAAACACAGGUCUCUGCAAAACCGUAAGGUGACGUAUAGGGGCUGACGCCUGCCCGGUGCUGGAAGGUUAAGAGGAGUGCUUAGCUUCGGCGAAGGUACGAAUUGAAGCCCCAGUAAACGGCGGCCGUAACUAUAACGGUCCUAAGGUAGCGAAAUUCCUUGUCGGGUAAGUUCCGACCCGCACGAAAGGCGCAACGAUCUGGGCACUGUCUCAACGAGAGACUCGGUGAAAUUAUAGUACCUGUGAAGAUGCAGGUUACCCGCGACAGGACGGAAAGACCCCGUGGAGCUUUACUGCAACCUGAUAUGGAAUGUUUGUACCGCUUGUACAGGAUAGGUAGGAGCCGAAGAGACGUGUGCGCUAGCAUACGAGGAGGCAAUGGUGGGAUACUACCCUGGCUGUAUGACCAUUCUAACCCGCCACGCUUAGCGCGUGGGGAGACAGUGUCAGGUGGGCAGUUUGACUGGGGCGGUCGCCUCCUAAAGAGUAACGGAGGCGCCCAAAGGUUCCCUCAGAAUGGAUGGAAAUCAUUCGCAGAGUGUAAAGGCACAAGGGAGCUUGACUGCGAGACUGACAAGUCGAGCAGGGACGAAAGUCGGGCUUAGUGAUCCGGUGGUUCCGCAUGGAAGGGCCAUCGCUCAACGGAUAAAAGCUACCCCGGGGAUAACAGGCUUAUCUCCCCCAAGAGUCCACAUCGACGGGGAGGUUUGGCACCUCGAUGUCGGCUCGUCGCAUCCUGGGGCUGUAGUCGGUCCCAAGGGUUGGGCUGUUCGCCCAUUAAAGCGGCACGCGAGCUGGGUUCAGAACGUCGUGAGACAGUUCGGUCCCUAUCCGUCGCGGGCGCAGGAAAUUUGAGAGGAGCUGUCCUUAGUACGAGAGGACCGGGAUGGACACACCGCUGGUGUACCAGUUGUUCCGCCAGGAGCAUCGCUGGGUAGCUAUGUGUGGCAGGGAUAAACGCUGAAAGCAUCUAAGCGUGAAGCCCCCCUCAAGAUGAGAUUUCCCAUUUCUUCGGAAAGUAAGAUCCCUGAAAGAUGAUCAGGUAGAUAGGUUUGGAGUGGAAGUGUAGCGAUACAUGGAGCGGACAAAUACUAAUCGAUCGAGGACUUAACCAAAA